rnacentral:rRNA from 1 species
GACGGAGGGGGCAAGCGUUGUCCGGAAUCACUGGGCGUAAAGCGCGCGUAGGUGGCACAGUGCGUCGGUGCUGAAAGCGCCGGGCUUAACCCGGCGAGGUGCAGCGAUACGACUGGGCUCGAGGCAGGGAGAGGGUGGCGGAAUUCCGGGUGUAGUGGUGAAAUGCGUAGAGAUCCGGAGGAACGCCAGUGGUGCAGACGGCCACCUGGCCCUGACCUGACACUGAGGCGCGACAGCGUGGGGAGCGAACCGG